rnacentral:piRNA from 1 species
AAAGGGAAACCAUCGAUGGAGUUAGAG